rnacentral:lncRNA from 1 species
CAAAGACUUAGUGCUCAGGGGAUAUAAAAAUAAUGCAUUGUAUGCCGGAAGGGAUAAAUCUGGGGCUGAGUACAAGCAAAACAAGACCAAAGGAAGCUACCUGAGCAGGUAUUCCAGAUACUCAUGUCAUACACCAAGGUUGUACCAGUGCCCCUUUCUCUGUGACACAUCCAUCCACUGGAAACUUUCGUACAACUAGCUGAAAGAAGAGAAACAUCCUAUUUCAUGUCACUGGAGCCCUAAUGAUCGCAGCCAUUUCAGGAAAUGCCAUCAAUUACAGUGAGGAGCUCAUUCAGAAGUGAAAGAUGAGUUCCAUUCUCUGUUACUUAGAGGGUGGAUAUCCUCCUCCACUGAAUGCAAACUAUUAAGUAAUGAAAAGACAGCACUCCAAGCAAUAUAGAUUUAUAGGCCAACCUGGCAAUCAAGGGUAACUGACAUGAAAAUGGAUUGCUUCACAUUUUAAUUACAAAGAUACUCUUCAGUACCAUAAAUUGAAGAAAACACUAACUUUUUGUGGCUACUGUAAUUGUCAAAGUAUAAUUACCUGUGUUUUCUCACCUACGUAUUUGAGAUAGAGACAAAACCAACAUGGGGACAAUUGUCUCUACUAUCAGUACGUAAUGUUUCUGGACCUCAGACAUUGGUCAGUUCCCCAAUUGACCGCUCUAGGUGAAGAGUCUGUAUCACCCUCUAUGCUGCCUCCAUUACAGAUAAAAAGGGGAUCUUGGACCCAUAGCAAUGAAUUAGUGGUGUGAAAGAUGUCACUUGGAGCUGCCUAAAGUGAUCGUAGACAAGAUAAAUGAAAAUCCUUUACUGCACCCAGAUAAUGUGGAAAACAUUUUGCCA